rnacentral:ncRNA from 1 species
GAGAGCACAGUACGAUGAAAGUUGUAAGCUGUGUUCGGGGGGAGUUAUUGUCUAUCGUUGGCCUCUGUGGUAGAAUCCUUUGGGGAGGCCUGAGAGGCGAUGGUUUACCCUGU